rnacentral:rRNA from 1 species
UACGAGGGGGGCAAGCGUUGUUCGGAUUUAUUGGGCGUAAAGGGUGCGUAGGCGGUUUGGCAAGUCUUAUGUGAAAUCUUCGGGCUCAACCCGAAGCCUGCAUAAGAAACUGCCGGGCUUGAGUAUGGGAGAGGUGAGUGGAAUUUCCGGUGUAGCGGUGAAAUGCGUAGAUAUCCGUAGGAACAUCCGAGGCGAAAGCGGCUCGCUGGAUCACAACUGACGCUGAGGGACGAAAGCUAGGGGAGCAAACAG